rnacentral:lncRNA from 1 species
UUGUCAAGGGGGAGUUUGUUGGUGCAUGUUUUGUGACAGGAAUGCUAGACGUUUGAGUAUCUAUGAAGAGCGGAUCUAAUUGUAUUAGAGAAUUCAAGAGAAGGUCACGGCGAGACGAGCCGUUUAUCAUUACGAUAGGUGUCAAGUGGAAAAAAAAUAAUAAUUACCGGUAAUAGUUUGUUUAUUUAGUCUUUGGAUAUUUUGUAUUAGGCUUAGCAUAUUGGUUAGGGAGUUAUUUCUAUGUAAUGGGCUUGGAGAAUGGCCUAGCCCAGACCAAAGCCCAUGUGCAAAGCUUGUUCUAUAAAUACAAGGCUUGGCAUUAGGGUUUAGGUUAGCCAGUGGAUAGAGAUUGAGAGAGAGUUAGAGAAAUCUACAGAGAGUGGCUGGGAGAUUUCUUGUGGGUCUUGAAUUGAUUGUAAACUUCGUGUUGGAUAAUCAAUAGAAGACCGGAUUGAAAGUGUAUCGUGUUCUUGAUUCUGUUUCUACUCAUUUUCUGUGAAAUCUGAUCUAGGGGAUUCCGC